GAUGAACGCUGGCGGCGUGCCUAAUACAUGCAAGUCGAGCGAACAGACGAGGAGCUUGCUCCUCUGCCGUUAGCGGAGGACGGGGGCGUAACAUGUGGAUAACCUACCUAUAAGACUGGGAUAACUGCGGGAAACCGGAGCUAAUACGGGAUAAUAUAUUAAAACGCAUGUUUCAAUAGUGAAAGACGGUUUUGCUGUCACUUGUAGAUGGAUCCGGGCGGCAUUAGCUAGUUGGUAAGGUAGCGGCUGACCAGGGCAACGAUGCGUAGCCGACUUAGAGGGGGAACGGGCCAAAUGGGAACGGAGACAGGCUCAAGACUCUAACGGGAGGCAGAAGUAGGGAUCCUCCGGAAAGGGGCGAAAGCUGGCCGGAGCAAGGCGGCGUGAGUGAUGAAGUUUUCCGGUUCGUAAAACUCUGUUAUUAGGGAAGAACAAAUGUGUAAGUAACUAUUCACGUCUUGACGGUACCUAAUCAGAAAGCCACGGCUAACUACGUG
rnacentral:rRNA from 1 species